AUUCUGAUCAGCAUCAGAAUCCUGCCAGUGUACAGAACCAUGUCUGUUUUCAUUCCUAUCACCUUGAAUUGGACUCUCUCUGUCAAGCAUGGCCAGGACAGUCUUUUCAAACUGUUCUGCCCAUGAUUGCCAAGAACCUACAGGUGUUUUCUCAGAAUUACUCACCUCUUUACUUACAGACUGUUUUAUGAAAACCUGGUUUGGUCUGGGAAAAUCAUAAUAAG